rnacentral:lncRNA from 1 species
AACAAGAUAAGCAGAAUUAUUUCCUAAAUUACAAAUAUCUACACCUACAACAAAUCACUGAGAGGAGCAGGGGACGCUGUGGGCGCAGUAUGGGCACAAAGAGGUGCGCUUUUAGCAGCUCUUAUCAACGCUGCUGCUGCUAUACGCGCAGGAAGCUGGCGUGACUUUGCCUUGUCUUUGUCUGAAGAAAGAAGGAACAGUAUUUUUCUGUCCUUUUUUAUGAGUGUUUUGAUUGCAUUGCUUCUCUCGACUUAGUCUAGGAAAGGGUAGGCCUCAGUAGAGAUCUCAGAGGCUAUAGGCUCCCUGAGGUAUAUCCUCAGUAGGAGGAUUUUUUCCCCCUUUUUCUUGCCUAAUUAACAGAUCAGAUGUGGGAAUAAUUAUGAAUAAACAUCAGGCAGUGUCAUUUAGAGACUGGUCACUUAGACUAACCCGUGAUGAGUCUAUACACAGCCACACAAGGGAUUAAGCUCCCAGCACAGCUGUAACCAGGACUGCUCAGAUCCCGGCUCCGUUUUUUGUGCAGGACACAGCCCUGACAUUCUGCUUGUUAUACAGGAAUUCAGAGUUAACAGUGAAUAGUCCUAUUUCAGUUCUCAAUGAAAGAGAAUACUGGUGCUCCUCACAAUAACAGUCUUUUCCCAGACAAAGCCAACACUGGUAUAGCAGAAAUGAUGCUAGUAAGAAGUGAUGUGAAUUGGUAACAAAGAAGCUUGAUCAGUGUGAUGGAGGCAGACAGUCACAGGCACAAAUUAAAUCUCAGAAGCAAAUUAAUUCCUCAUUCAUUCUUCUGAACACCGGUGCUACAACACACUUUGUAAAAGUUGCAUCGAAGGUAGCAGCUGGAAAUUAAUUAGUUUCAAGAGCUGAAAAUAUUCUCUGUGGAGAAAUUUUAAGCCCAUAAACUUUUCCUUUUCUUCUUCUUCUUUUUUUUUUUUUUUUUUUUUAAAUAGUGCAUCAAAAUGCAUGCAAAGCAGAUCUAUGAAUUGCUACAUGGCUUUAUUUUUUAAAUUGCCCGUCUUUUUAUUCAGUGGUCUCAUAAACAUAAAAUUGAUUAAAUGGACAUCUUUCUUUCUAAGCUAAGCUAAGCCACAUCUCUCCUUUUUUGAAAGCUUCCUAAACAUGCAAGCACUCCAUAAAAAAGUAACUGGUGCAUGCAGAAGCAAUGCAGUUCACAAAUGAAGCAGUAUAAUGUCAAUGGUUUGAAAUUGUUC